AAAAGACCAUUUUGAAACGUUUGACACGAGAAUUAGAAGAACACUGCAAGAUAUUUCUAAAUAGUUUAUUAUUACAUUUUUAAUCUUUGAUAUUGAUGGUGGUCUGAAUGUUGUCUGACCUGCACAAACACAUCAGGACGUACCAGAACUAUUCUUUGUGCCUUUCACACAAAAACAACGGUGCAGAAUUAUCAAACUUUGGAGUUUACAUGUGGAUCGGAGGUUAAAAGGUGGAGAAAUAACCUCUUUGUUUUCCUCUACGCUGCAUUAACCGCCUCCUUAUAAUCUGCCUUUCUGUUGACCUUUGUCCUAUGAGACUGCUGUGUCUCCAUGAAUCAAAUAUGACCCCUUUCUCAUCUGCAGUCUAACUUUCUCAUGUUGUUGUUUCUCUCUUUGUGUCCAAAAUAAGAAAAUCUCGUAUCUCUGCCCUAAACAGCUGCAGCGUGAACACAGCGAGUCUCAUCCUCCCUGCAGGGCCGUGUCAAGGUACAAACACACACAAACACACACACUACACACUGCCCUGUCUGUAACCCCCUUUCCAAACACCGCUGUCUCACAUCCUGCAGUGUUUCCUGUCAUGUGUUCAUCUCACAGACUGCUCUUCACCAUCAUCACUGUAUUCGCUCCGUCCUUCGGGAACCUAAAACCGAGCGUCCCAGACCGUGAGUUCAGCCGCUCCAGACAGUGAGUAAAAUGCAUCUGAUAUCAAGCUCCUUUUUUGAU